rnacentral:rRNA from 1 species
UACGUAGGGUGCGAGCGUUGUCCGGAUUUAUUGGGCGUAAAGAGCGUGUAGGCGGCCAGGUAGGUCUGCUGUGAAAACUCGAGGCUCAACCUCGAGACGUCGGCGGAAACCAUCUGGCUAGAGUCCGGAAGAGGAGAGUGGAAUUCCUGGUGUAGCGGUGAAAUGCGCAGAUAUCAGGAAGAACACCCGUGGCGAAGGCGACAUACUGGACGACUGUUGACGCUGAGGUGCGAAAGCGUGGGGAGCAAACAGG